CACUUUGGAGAAUGAUAAGGAUAUUCAUGCCUUGCAGCUGUGCUUCCUUCUAGCUGCAAGAACUGAUAGUCCAGAUCGCGGAGUUGGAGCACUAAUCUGCCAGGACGGAUGCUUUGUGGCAAUGGGCUACAAUGGUUUUCCACGAGGUUGUUACCAUGGUCGCUACCUUUCAAGUCGUGACCAAAGUGAGACGAAGAGCCCC